rnacentral:rRNA from 1 species
GACGGAGGGUGCAAGCGUUGUUCGGAAUUACUGGGCGUAAAGAGCGUGUAGGCGGUUAGGUAGGUCCGUUGUGAAAACUCGAGGCUCAACCUCGAGACGCCGAUGGAAACCAUCUGACUAGAGUCCGGAAGAGGAGAGUGGAAUUCCUGGUGUAGCGGUGAAAUGCGCAGAUAUCAGGAAGAACACCCGUGGCUAAGGCGGCUCUCUAGUACGUGACUGACGCUGAGACGCGAAAGCGUGGGGAGCGAACAGG